CUCUCACCCGGCCACGUGAUUGACACCUCCUCUCACAUUUUCUGUUGGGAAAUCCCAAAGCAUCUAAAAGGCAAGCAGUGAUACUCAAGCUGUGGCCAAAGGUAUAUGUGUGUUGGGUUGGGGGGACGGGAGGGCUGCAAGAAAAGGAGAGAGAGAGAAUGAAAGAAACACACACACACACACAGAAGAAUGUAGAAGGGAAAUGGCCAGGAAGAAGCAGUGUCUCCAAGGCCUAAUACUGUGCCAUUAUAAUUAAUAGUUCUGUCAUAUUUGACACGAUAUGACAACAUUAGGGAUGUCUGGAUUAUAGAGCUGGGUGAAACAGUGUCAAAGGAACAAAAAUUUCUUUCUCCCUCAUUUGGGGGACAUCGUCCAGCAGGGGAUGUCGUAUGUUCAUUCGUGUAAUGUGUCCCUGACCCGGGCCUCGUUCCUCAUUAUAUAGCCAAACAUGGCAUCUGUUUGGUCAUGUUAUCCAGGGGGAGAAGGAUCCCCAAAUCCUUAAUCACCGUGAGCUGCUGAAACCCCACUUAAUUUCACACCACCAGCCCGAGUCCCUGGCAAGUGGUUACAUUUACAAGAUUUCAUCGUUCUUCUUUUGUGGAAAUGACAGCUAAAGCUUGGAGCUGGAAGAGGUCCAAGGAGGCAGAGUUGGGGAUAUGGAGAUUCCUGAGAUUUGGAUAACACUUAAAUGAUUUGAAAUCCUGACUUGUUGGCCGUAUGGCUCUAUUAAAGCCCUCUGAGAUUCAGCCUCUCCCUGCGGGCGAUGUCAGAGUGCCUCCGAGGAGCUCAUACGGUUAUUGUUCAACAGAGAGCCGCCCUUUUUGUCAUCUGGUGAAAUUGUCUAGUUUUGUCCGGUGAGACUAGGACCCGGACUGGCACUUGGCACAGGGGAGGGAUUCUGUAAAUACUUGCUGAGUAGAAUCGACAGGCUACACGGGGCCUUAAAACCCAAGUCUGUGGAUUCAGAUUCAGGGCUCUUUAGAAUCGAUUUCACCCCAUUCCUUUUUUUGAAUGGGCUUCUUCUCUGCUUUCAACCACACAGACAGCAGAGGCUUCCGCGUGGUCCUUCUUAACGGAAUGGGUUCUGCUGAGGACGCGAUGUGGGCGCGGUGAGUCUAGCUCAAGCUGCUUCUCUGGGACCAGAGACUAAGAGGCUGAGCUGGGAGUUCUGUCCAGAAGAGGAACUGGCAGGUUAUGCUCUCUCCACGACAGGCCUGGCUGGAAGCUGAUAAGUGAUCUUCAGAGAUGCUUCCUUGCAAAACCAUGACUCAGGAAUAUUGCUCACAUCCUCAGGAUGGCACGGGGCUAAAAAUAAGCCAUGAUGGAAAAGACCCCAGUGAGAAGCGGUGGGGAGGGGGGUGGUGAGAACUUGAGAGAGCCGAGGGCAGGGAGACAGGAGAUAGGAGAAAGGUGCCAGUGGAACAGGAGGACGGAGAGCAAGGGGGGGAAGAGCAGAAAGAGGGGAGGGGAAUGUCUGUUGGACGAGAGACGAGCCUUGGUGCAGGACGGAGGAGACAGAGGAAGGAGGGUCCCAGAGAGAAGAUGUGUCAUUGCAUACACGGGCUGCAAACAUGAACUUAACAUUUGGCAUGGCAAAACAAUCUGGAGGCUGGGCUCAAGGUCACCAGCUGCUCUCCUUGUCCCUAACUGAGAGCGUCCCCAGGCUCUCUCUUUCUGAGAAAUGUCAUAAACGUCUUCAGUUAUCAGUUCUAUGCUGGGACCCCGAAUCUUCAUCUCUGACUCUAAUCUCUCACCCGAGGUGGGUCAGUAUCUUCAACUGCCCAUGGCACUGGGUUUCCAACGUAAUUCUGAGGAGCCCUGACAAUCUGAGGGGCGGGAGGUGGGGCGUGGAGGAGCCAGAGCCCCCAGAAUGCCUACUUUAAAAAAUUUUGUUUAUUGAUUUGUUUUUUGAGAGAGUGAGCGAGAAAGAGAGAGAGAGAGAGCAAGCCAGGGAGGGGCAGAGAGGGAGAGGGAGAAAGAAAUCCCAAGCAGGCUGCACGCUGUCAGUGCAGAGCCAGAACUCAGAACCGUGGGGCUUGAACUCAGAACCAUGAGAUCGUGACCUGAGCUGACACCGAGAGGCAGACACGUAACCAACGGAGCCAGCCAGGCGUUGCCCAGCAUGCACGCCUCGUUUGAAACUAGCCCAUCUCAUCUCCCUUUCAAUCUACUGUAUUAGGUUCCUCCUAAGGUUUGGCCGGCUGCUUAAAAUAAAUUUGGCAACCACUGACUUUUAGGUUGAAACCACCUUUGCUACAAUUCAAAAUGUCCCUGAUGAAACGCGCCCGUCCCCCCACCAUCUGUUCUGUGUCUUCCCCUUCUCUCCUCACCUUUGCCUACGACAACCGUCAUCCCAGGUAGUCAGACUCCAGAUCUUGGGGUACGCUGAGGAGCGUAAUUCCCACCGCCACGCAAGAUCCCGUCUGCUGCCUUGGAAAUGCCUCUGAGAUCUGGCACUUUCUCGUCCCGUCUGCUGUGGAACCCUUGGUCCCAGCACCCAAGGGCCCAGAUCGCUGUGGCACCGAACCCGCUAUUCUCCCCUUCCCUUCUGUGCUGCCCACCCCUUUCUGACGAAACUUCUCUUUCCAUCUUCGUUCGGUUGCUGCUCGCUCUUCAGAACCCCUCAGUGCUCCCAGGGCCUCUCAUGAAAAAAUCCUCCACCCGGAAUUCAGCAGGAUCUCUUGGCCUGGAGCUUGGCCAGUUGGAGUCAUCGCUCAGACUCUCCUCUCUGAUGCGAGGUGCUCACCUCCUUCAUCUCUGCUCUCCCCCCCUCCCACCCCUGGAACCCUCCCCACUCUUUGUCGACUCUCCCAGUGUUGCCUCCCUUUUGACUUUCCUCAAGGCAACCUUCUCCACCUUCUUCUCUAAGACUCCCAAAUCGACUUGGAGGUAGAAACCAGGGUACAGGACCCAAGGAGUCUACCUCCCAAACACACGGCAGAAGUCGUCCGUCUUUUCAUUUUGCGUCGAGCCCAGGGUCAGCCUAGAGAGGACAUCCCUGCCCUACCGCGUUUUCUUCCGUUCCUUGCAACAGAAAACUAGUCUCUGGCUGAAAUUCUCCAGGCCCCCAUGGGAGGAGUAUCCACAGCAGAGCUCUGUAUCCAGCCCCAGCCGGACCCUCCUGCCCUCGCCCCACCUCCCCCAGCCCUGGCCCAGAUGGGAGGCCGGCAGACAAGCAAACACAAAGGACGAGGCUCUGCCGAACCCGCCUGUCUCAGUGCUGCGCCAAUUUAAAACAAUUUUUUUAAUGUUUAUUUGUUUUUUGAAAGAGAAAGACAGUCAGAGUGCAAGCAGGGGACGGGCAGAGAGAGAGGGAGAUGCAGAAUCCAAAGCAGGCUCCAGGCCCUGAGCUGUCAGCACAGAGCCCGACGCGGGGCUCCAACUCACGAACCGCACGCGAGAUUGUGACCUGAGCCCAAGUCGGACACUUAACCGACUGAGCCACCAGGCACCCCUGGGCCAGUUUGUCCUCUGUCUUCUGGCUCCGCAGGAGGCUUCUCACAGUCAGUGUGGGGAGAGGCAGGGACAGAUGUGGAGACAGAGCUGACAAUCAGUGCGGGGAGAGCAGCAGCCCCCUCAGCGGGACAAGGCUCUGGGAAAGGCAGCUGGAGCCCAGGGGGAACAGAGUGGGUGCCAUUCACCCAUCCAACCCAGUGUUCACUGACUACCCCCCGGCCUUCCGGGCCUCACAGAGCUCAUGUCUCCCUGAGGCCUCAGACCCCCAGUGAGGUCAACAAACCAGAUGGAUCUCAGGACCAGGAAGGAGCCAACAGGGCCCUGGGGUGGUAGUGACUGCUGCUUCGGACCUGAAGGUCAAGGACAGGAAUAACGUUAGGUGAUGCGAGUCGCCUUGAUUUUCCUCCUCCUCCAUCCCACUGAUUAUUCUGUCCAUGACUUUUCUUUCUUCAUUCAGCUUGGGUUUACUCUCAUUUGUUCACACCCCCGUUUUCUGCUUUCCAUGUUCUCUCCCUGCUGGUCCUUGUCAAUCUUUGGUUUCUAUUUACCAAGAGGUUUGAUAGCCUGGCAGCUUUCCUUUUCUUUUGCGCUUAUCUUUUCCCAGUGAAAACUCUGGAAUCCCAGGUUCUGGGUCAUCCCUCCAAAUCACCAGAUCUCACAGACUCGGAGGGGGUGGAAAAGACCUUGAAAGUAAGUGUGCCCAGUCCUUUGGUCUUCUGGCUCUCUCUAGAUCUGUCUCUGUCUCUGAUUUUGUCUGUGUCUCUCUUUUUUCACCAUUGCCCCAUUCUUUUCUCCACUUCUUUCCUCACUUGUUGGUGUUUUUAUACCACCGGUCCCGCAGGAUGGACAGUGGUCACAAGGUAGGAAGGAAAUCCUCUCUCACUCUCUGAGGCUAGCUCAUCUUUCCCCCCAGGAACGAGGGAAGAUCUUGUUUUAAUUACCGUCUUUGAUAUGGGCCAACUUGAUUGGCCACAGUUGCAUGCCUGUCAUCUCAUCCUUCCCUGCUUUUGUCCUAUGCCUCUUUGUUCUGUCAAACUCAGGGGAGAAGGAACUAGGCAAUUUACUUUUCCUCUUCUGGAGAAUAGGGAAUGCAGGGAUGGGGGGGGCCCCAGAAACGUCUGGACUGUGAUUUUUGGUACGUGGUACCUAGCUUUCACUAAAUCCCCCCUCCUCCCGUUUCUUUCUUGUUGUAAAAUACUUUCGGCACGGAAACAUUGCAAGUCAACUAUGGGUGCUCGCUCUUCCCUGAUUAUCAAGGAAGCUAGGCUCCGUGGCCGGCUAAGUCAGCAAGCGCUGGGAUACUCUGGAAAUUGCACGGGGUGGAUUUGAGCCACAGUGUGGCCAUUUAUCAGCUGUGGGACCUUGGGGAAGUUACUUCAUCUUUCUGAGUUUCAUGUUCUCAUUUGUCAAAUGGAGACAGAAUAAUAAUUACUUCCUAGACUGUGUGUGUGAGGACUGAAUCUAUUAAAGGAUCUAAAGUAACCUGGCAUUGUGCCGAACGCAUCCUCUUUAAUUAUUAAACACAGGCUGAACACCUCAUUUGGGCAGAGCCCGGACCGUGCAUUCAGGGGCCACGGAGAAGAAGCAGCCAGGACUGGGGGGAUCUGGUUACAGACCUGGUCCCCUCCCCUGCCUGGGGGGCCUGGGUCUGAGCUGGAGAUUGGAAGGCCGGCAGCCAGGCCCUUCUCCCCAGGAGCUGGGGCGCACAUGAAAGCCUGUCAUACCUCAGGAACCGGCCGCUGUGCCGAGCAUCUGGAUGUUCUUAGAUCUCUGUCUGGAUUCCUUCUGCUUGUCUUGUAGAAUCACUUAUCAGCAGCAAGCAGACCAGGGCUUUGGCUUUCCUCUCUGUGGCCCAGCCCCGCUGUCUUCCUAUCCAUAAACACGGUGGAGCAGGGGACAGGAAGGUGGCCCCAGGGCCCGCAGAGGAGGCUGCCCUGUGCGCUGUCCCUCCUGGCCACCCACCCCCCUCCUGCCCCCACCACCACAGAUGCUACAGCAAGGCCUCCUCUCCUGUCCCGUGGCCCUUAGUUCCCCACACUUGCAGCUGAGAGGGGUUUAGGGAUCGGGUGGAAAUUUCAGAAUUGUGCGGAACGUGCGAAUGUUGAGAGCUGUCGGUAAGUCUCCAUUCACCACACCGUUCCCUCCAAAAUAGUCCCCUGUCGGUUGACUGUCUGCACCUAGAAGGACCUAUUUCUCACACUAGGGUACUUAGGAAGCCGUGGGGAAGGCUGGUUGCAGCUUGGGGAAU
rnacentral:lncRNA from 1 species